rnacentral:rRNA from 1 species
UACAUGGGGUGCAAACGUUGCUCGGAAUUAUUGGGCGUAAAGCGCACGUAGGCGGUUUGUUAAGUCGGAUGUGAAAUCCCUCGGCUCAACUGAGGAAGUGCACCCGAAACUGGCAGGCUUGAGUUCGGUAGGGGAGACUGGAAUUCCUGGUGUAGCGGUGGAAUGCGCAGAUAUCAGGAGGAACACCAAUGGCGAAGGCAGAUCUCUGGGCCGUAACUGACGCUGAGGAGCGAAAGCAUGGGGAGCGAACAGG